rfam:Oryza glumipatula chromosome 7, whole genome shotgun sequence.
CCUCCGACAAACCAUCGAUUCCGUGCCAACGUUGGACUAUCCAUCAUAUAUAAAUUUUUUUUAUAAUUAGUAUUUUCAUUGUUGUUAGAUGAUAAAAAAUGAUUAAUACUUUAUGCUGACUUAUCUUUUUAAUUUUUUUCAUAAUUUUUUUAAAUAAGACGGACGGUCAAACGUUGGACACGGAAACCAGGGUUUGUCUUUUU